rnacentral:rRNA from 1 species
ACAGGUCUGUGAUGCCCUUAGAUGUUCUGGGCCGCACGCGCGCUACACUGACAGAGCCAACGAGUUCUUUUCCUUGUUCGAAAGAAUUGGGCAAUCUUGUUAAACUCUGUCGUGCUGGGGAUAAAGCAUUGCAAUUAUUGCUUUUCAACGAGGAAUGCCUAGUAAGCGCGUGUCAUCAGCAUGCGUUGAUUACGUCCCUGACCUUUGUACACACCGCCCGUCGCUACUACCGAUUGAAUGGCUCAGUGAGGCCUUCGGACUGGCUCGAGGAGGUUGGCAACGACCACCUCAAGCCGGAAAGUUGGUCAAACUCGGUCAUUUAGAGGAAGUAAAAGUCGUAACAAGGUCUCCGUAGGUGAACCUGCGGAGGGAUCAUUA